rnacentral:misc_RNA from 1 species
UCAAACUUGGUCAUUUAGAGGAAGUAAAAGUCGUAACAAGGUUUCCGUAGGUGAACCUGCGGAAGGAUCAUUACUGAGAACCGGUGCCCUCGUGGCCCGACCCUCUAACCACCGCGUACUUAAACUUAAACGUUGCCUCGGCGGGACGGGCCUCUAGGGGCCCCCCGACGCCCGGCGUCAGCCGGCGCGCGGGAGCCUCCCGCCGCAGGAAAACCAAAAGACCGUUUUGUGUGACGAACGUCUGAAUCUUUCUUCGCGAAUGCGAUAAAGUACAACUUUCAACAAUGGAUCUCUUGGCUCCGGCAUCGAUGAAGAACGCAGC